rnacentral:rRNA from 1 species
UACAGAGGGUGCGAGCGUUAAUCGGAAUUACUGGGCGUAAAGCGUGCGUAGACGGUUAUGUAAGUCGGAUGUGAAAGCCCCGGGCUUAACCUGGGAAUUGCAUUCGAGACUGCAUAGCUAGGAUGCGGAAGAGGGAAGUGGAAUUUCCGGUGUAGCGGUGAAAUGCGCAGAUAUCGGGAAGAACACCCGUGGCGAAGGCGGCUCUCUGGGACGGUACUGGACGCUGAGACGCGAAAGCGUGGGGAGCGAACAGG